CCUUAAAUUAAUAACUGUAUAGAGUUAGCAAUUGUGUUAUUAGACAAAGACAUAAAAUAUAUAGUAACAAGUUCAGUAAAAGUGUAAUGACUAAUACUUUAGUUGGUGAUGUUUAGUUUUUCUGAGCUUUAAACUUCUUAUUUCUAAAAAAAUGUAGCAUUUAACUAUUUCUUUUUUCACAUUCUCUUUCAUUUAUUAUUGCCAGAUCUAGCAAAAUGGCAACUAUAAUCAAUGUGGCUUUUAUUUCUUUAUAUCGCACAUAUAGACUUCAUAAAUAUCCUUUCAAUUUACUUACAGUUCACAGUGUGUGCAGACCGCCAAUACAAGAGACAGGUAGGAUAAGACAAAAGUAUUUUCCAAAUCCACAUUUUUCGUUAACACUAUACUAUUACUGUAACGAUUAAGUCAAAUAAAUGCUAUUUAAAUUCAGAAAAUAGAAUAUAUACGGUAGUUCAAGACUGCAUUUUAUGUCUGAAAUAAAUGUAAUUCCCUACAUGUUGUUGUUAAAACAUUUGUAAUGUAGUGAACUGGCAGUAAUUAAACAAGGGUCUCAACUCUACUGUCAGUCUAUAGAUGUAUAAGUAAGUCAGCUAUGAUACUUGAGCGUCAUUUUUAAUAUAUAUAUGCAAUGCAGAUAUUAUUAGUGUACCUUAAUUUGAGCCUGUAUCCCCACUAAAGACAAAUAAAGUUUUUUCAAGUGUUCUUUCUUUUAUGAAGAUGUUGUAUAUUGACAUUCCUGUUUAAUAUUUUUAUGUCUGUUCAAUGUACCCAAGUCGAUCUUUAAAGAAGGCAUCUUGUACGAAUAGAUAACAGCCACGAAUGGCAGAAUCUAAAUUUCAAACACCGAGGACACUUUAACAACACAAGGGUGCAACAGGUUUUGCCAAGAAUUAGUAAGUGUGGAACACAAAAGUUAACAACUGGAUGCUAUUUGAGCUGGCACGUAUUAUUCUUCCAGUAUCUGUCUCUAAGAUUGAUACGCAUGUUAGAGAAACAUGCAAGAUAUUUCAUACCGUUUUAUGUCGUCGUAAGACAACUACCCCCACGCCAUGAUUUAGAUUGGUGUAUUUUUGAGAAUUUGGUACGUAAAGGGACUUGUGUUCUAAAGCAAUGAUAUCGCGGGAUGUUGUAUUGGCAUGCGUUCGUCCGUCAGAAAACAAAAAUGCUUAUAAUUCAAAACGUAUUUCAGAAGAAUAACUAAACCUCACAUAAUCAUUGAUCAGCGCAUAACCUUUGCUAAAAUGUAGUAUUAUUCUCUUGGCCGAGUAAAGCAGUUUUUCCCUUGAUUUGUUUGGGGAAAAAAUGCUUAUAACUCACAAAGUAUAUCUGUUAGAAUCACCAAAACUUGCAUAAUUAUUAAUAAUAAUUAAUUUGCACACGCUCUUUGCUAACAUAUUGUAUUAUAUCCUUUGACCCAGUAAAUACGCGUUAUUUCCCUUAGAUUUGGUGGGAAAAUGAAAUGCUUACAAUUGAAACGGUGUUUUUUAUUAUGAUCACUACUUUGAAUGAUUCAAUAGCAUAUGAGCUUCCAUCGCAAUUCGUAUUAGAUUUUAUCACAAUUAGCAUUACCCAGUAAAGACAGAGUUUCUCCCCUUGAUCUGGUAAAAAAAGCUAAUUAUUCAAAAAGUAUCUUACUAUGAUCGGUUGAUCACCAAACCUCACAUAAUAAUUAAUUGGUACAUGAACUUUGCUCACAUUUCGUAUAAUCCCGCCUGAUUUAGAAAAAACAUAUUUUUAGUGAAAAUAGGGAUUUUGACGAUUUUUUAGUAACCGAUUGAUGGAUUUUCAUGAAACUUUACACAAAUGUAGAUCACUAUAGGGCGGUGGUUGACACAUAAUUUUGUCUCUUCAUUAAAUUCAGAGUUAUUGCCAUUUGAUUAUUGUUUAAUCCAUAAAUUCCAACAUAAAAUUCCAUUAAUGCAUCUUCAUGUAAUUUGGCACAAAAAUAGAUCACUUUAAGGAGGUUGUGCAUGAACAUAUUUCGUCUGGAUUACUUAGAUAACUGCCGAGUUAUUGCCCUUUGUUUUAUAAUUCAUUAAUUUCCUGUAAACAAAGGAACCCAUUGAUGUAUCUUUAUGAAACUUUAUACAAAUAUAGAUCGCUAUAGCGCAGAGUUUCCCCGUUGAUUAUGGUAAAAAUGGAACAAACAAACCAUUGCACAGCCCUUUUGUAUAUAAUUUGUGAAUAUCUUUCAGAAUAUAGUCCCUUCUUUCAUAAAACAACCUAUUCGGCGAGUGAAAUAAAUUCACCGGAUUUGCAUGUUUCAUGUUUUGUUUUUAACUAAUCAGCCGGCAUUCGUUGUUCAAUUAAUUCGUUGUAGUAUUCUUAUUUAGAUUGAUUACUUAUAUUGACAGUCUUCUUCUUAAUGCAUCGCCUUGUGCUUAAUUUUCAGGUAUUAUCAAUGAUGGAUCACCCAUUCCUGCACCUAACUUAUAUCUGGGAAGUCGUGUUUUAAGAGUAAGGCCUUUGGGAGAAGGCUACUUUGACUGUCAAACCAACAUUGUUACAUUACAUCCUUCACCAGGGACAACAAGAAGAUAUGGAGCAAAUUUCCGACAAAAUGGUACAAACUCAAUCACAGUCAACGUUGAAAACGUUAUAUUCACAUAGUAGACACAUUUGCAAUGGAAAAUGCAAAAUAUUUAUGAUCAAUUGUUUAUUUUAUUAUUUGUGGGUGAAAAGUGCAUUUGUGACUUUAUUAUACGAAUAAAGAUAUGUCAUGUU